rnacentral:rRNA from 1 species
GAUGAACGCUGGCGGCGUGCUUAACACAUGCAAGUCGAACGGAAAGGCCCUUGCUUGCUGGGGUACUCGAGUGGCGAACGGGUGAGUAACACGUGGGUGAUCUGCCCUUCACUUCGGGAUAGGUUCGGGAAACUGGGUCUAAUACCGGAUAGGAGCACCUGUUGCAUGGUGGGGUGGAGAGUUUUUCGGUGGGGGAUGAGCUCGCGGCCUAUCAGCUUGUUGGUGGGGUAAUGGCCUACCAAGGCGUCGACGGGUAGCCGGCCUGAGAGGGUGUACGGCCACAUUGGGACUGAGAUACGGCCCAGACUCCUACGGGAGGCAGCAGUGGGGAAUAUUGCACAAUGGGCGCAAGCCUGAUGCAGCGACGCCGCGUGGGGGAUGACGGCCUUCGGGUUGUAAACUGCUUUCGCUAGGGACGAAGCGCAAGUGACGGUAACUGGUGAAGAAGCACCGGCUAACUACGUG